rnacentral:rRNA from 1 species
AGCGUCUGGAAAGAUUUAUCGGUUGGGGAUGGUCUCGCGGCCUAUCAGCUUGUUGGUGGGGUAAUGGCCUACCAAGGCGACGACGGGUAGCCGGCCUGAGAGGGCGACCGGCCACACUGGGACUGAGACACGGCCCAGACUCCUACGGGAGGCAGCAGUGGGGAAUAUUGCACAAUGGGCGCAAGCCUGAUGCAGCGACGCCGCGUGAGGGAUGAAGGCCUUCGGGUUGUAAACCUCUUUCAGCAGGGAAGAAGCGCAAGUGACGGUACCUGCAGAAGAAGCGCCGGCUAACUACGUGCCAGCAGCCGCGGUAAUACGUAGGGCGCAAGCGUUGUCCGGAAUUAUUGGGCGUAAAGAGCUCGUAGGCGGUUUGUCGCGUCUGGUGUGAAAUCUCGAGGCUCAACCUCGAGCUUGCAUCGGGUACGGGCAGACUAGAGUGCGGUAGGGGUGACUGGAAUUCCUGGUGUAGCGGUGGAAUGCGCAGAUAUCAGGAGGAACACCGAUGGCGAAGGCAGGUCACU